GCCGAGGUGGCGGAAUUGGUAGACGCACUGGCUUCAGGUGCCAGCGGGGGCAACCCCGUGAAGGUUCAAGUCCUUUCCUCGGCACCA
rnacentral:tRNA from 1 species